CCUAAGCAGCAAGCCACUUCCCUGGCAGCAAAAUGGCAGUGUGUUGAGGAUUCCUAGGCCUUGAGGAGGGAAGCGCCAUUCAGCAGUCUGGAGCAGGAGCGCGUACUUAAACUGGAGAGCAGGCACCAUGGGGACAUUGUGGACGCCCGGGCCUGUUUCUGAGGGUCUCAUUUGACCAAACUAGCUCAAGAGCAAGAGCAUAAGCUGAGAGAGAGCCUUGCUGCCUGUCCUGGUGAAAGACCAGGCCCACUCAACUUUAUUACAGAGUUGCCAGACCCCACAGCACCUCCAGGUUCCAAGCCACUGGAACAGAAGUGACACAGAGGGCCCAGGAAACAGUCAAGAAAGGAGACAGAACCAAGGAACCUCUGGCCUAAACCCAAACUGAGGACUCUGAGAAAGGCUUACUCCCGGCUGGGGCUUUCUCAAACACACACCACCGACCCGUGGCACAGAUGCCAUCCCCCAUCCCAGGUCCCAUCCUCAGCACGUUUCAUCACGGAACACCCUUUCCCGCUUAUUCGUGGUCCUAGAAUGAUCUGGGCUACCGGGAACCAGAAAAAAAGUCCUUAAAGGAAAAGGUCUGAGGUAUUACAAAAAUGAAGGCGAUGAUGAAAGCCACACUUGAAGGCCCCGCCACUUUCCAGGGUCUCCUUCACUGGCCUAGCAUCCCUCAGCCUGGAACUAGCGCUGACUCCCAUUCACAGCUGAUCACAAGGGCCUCUCAGUCACUGCUUGGCCCAGAAGACCUGGAGAACGGUUAUUCCAUGGGGUCUGUCUGAGGAUUGUGACGGAAGAGAAGGAGGGGAAGGGCCUGCUCAGGGAGCCUUUGCUCACCUCGUCCAAACCACACUGCCCCCACACUCCACUCUCUGCAGCACCACAAAGGGGCCAGAGGACAGGUGACACUCAGCAGCGCUAAGUGUAUGUCCCAGAGUGCAUGUGCCAAUGUUGCCUCUCCCGAGCGAUCACAGACCUGGGAACUCAAUAGGCUCCCUUCACACCCUUAAGACAAUCAACAACAAAGCCCCACACUGGUUUCUCAUGCCUGAGAUCCUAUCACACACAUGUGGGUGAGUGUGUAUACGUGUGGGUGCAACCUCGCUGUAUCUGUCUAAAUUUGCAUGUGUCCAUCCAGGUGAAUAAAUCUGUCAGCACAGUGACUCCAAAAUCA